rnacentral:rRNA from 4 species
CUACGCUGCGAUAAGCCGUGGGGAGCUGCGAAGAAGCUUUGAUCCACGGAUUUCCGAAUGGGGAAACCCACCUUCGAUAGCCGGAACUCCAAGAUCUUGAGGUUUAGACACCUCGUGUUUUGGGGUUCGACCAGAAAUGCGAGAAAUCAAGCCGCGAGGUUUUGGAUUUCCGGUUAUCAAGAGAAGGUAUGAGACUUCCGAAUAAAAUAGGAGGUUUCAAGCGAACCCAGGGAACUGAAACAUCUAAGUACCUGGAGGAAAGGACAUCAAUCGAGACUCCGUUAGUAGUGGCGAGCGAACGCGGACCAGGCCAGUGAUACAUCAAAGACAAUCGGAACCUGUCAGGAAAGCAGGGCCUCAGAGGGUGAUAGCCCCGUACGAGUAAUGCGAUGAUGUAUCCUUGAGUAAGGCGGGACACGUGCAAUCCUGUCUGAACACGGGGGGACCACCCUCCAAGCCUAAGUACUCCUCAGCGACCGAUAGU